AUGAGUGACUCAACUUGUGAGUCUGGAAGCGGCGCCCAGGCAACGAAGGCACCAGCGAAGGCAUCAUCGAAUCCGAAGAAUGAUGAUGCCAACGAGGACCGCAAUGUGUUCACGUCGAUCGACAAAAAAGGUGGUGGCUCGAAACAAAUGGCGAUCGAGGAUAUCUACCAAAAGAAGUCCCGACUCGAGCACAUUCUUCUUCGCCCGGACACCUACAUCGGUUCGGUCGAGCAUACCGAGAAGACGCCGAUGUGGGUCUACAACAUGGAGGAGAGCACGCUGGAGCAGCGUGACAUCUCAUACGUACCGGGACUAUUCAAGAUUUAUGACGAAAUCCUUGUGAAUGCGGCUGACAACAAACAGAGAGAUCGGAAGAUGAACACGAUAAGAGUUACCAUCAACAAGGCGAAAAACGAGAUCUCUGUAUACAACAACGGAAAAGGAAUUCCUGUCACCCAGCACAAAGUGGAGAAAGUCUUCGUUCCUGAGCUCAUUUUCGGAAGUCUUCUCACGUCAUCAAACUUCGUCGGCAAUCAGAAGGCAAUGAUAGGAGGACGAAACGGAUAUGGAGCUAAACUCUGCAACAUUUUCUCCACAAAAUUCACUUGUGAGACGUCAUCUCGGGUCUACAAAAGUGCAUUCAAGCAAACGUGGAUUAACAACAUGACGCGUGAUGAGGAGCCGACGAUUGUUCCGAGCACCGACGAAGACUUCACGAAGAUCACAUUCUCGCCGGAUCUGGCAAAGUUCAAGAUGAAGGAACAUGACGACGAUAUCUGCCAUUUGAUGGCUCGGCGUGCCUACGACGUGGCGACAACCUGUAAAGGUGUAGACGUCAUCCUCAAUGGAGAGAUGAUUUCAGUCAAGGGAUUCGAGGACUACCAAAUUUCGUUUGCUAACAACGUUUCCACCACAAAAGGAGGAAGACAUGUGGACCAUGUUGUCGACCAGAUGAUUGCGAGACUCAAGGGCUCGAUCAAGCAGGAGCUUUCAAAGGACGUCGAUCCAUUCAUGAUUGAAAACCAUUUGUGGGUUUUCGUGAACUGUCUCAUCGAGUGGCCAACGUUCGACUCGCAAACGAAGGAAAUGAUGACGCUACGGCACGAUCGAUUCGGAUCCACAUGCGCUCUGAGCAAGAAAUUCUGCAAAACGGCUUUACAAAUUGGCCUGAUCCGCCAAAUUUCCCGUGAAAUUAGUGUAGAUAUCCGAGAAAAUCUCGUCCAAAAAGCCUCGGAAAGUUCGCCAAUAAAGUGCAUUCCAAAGCUUGAAGAUGCCAAAGAAGCUGGAACCAAAACUUCCGAACGGUGCACAUUGAUUGUGACGGAAGGAGACUCGGCCAAAACGCUUGCUAUUUCGGGACUUUCCGUUGUUGGACGGGACAAGUUCGGAGUCUUCCCGCUCCGAGGAAAGUUGCUGAAUGUCCGCGACGCAAGUGUGAAGCAGAUCGCCGAGAAUGCUGAAGUCAACGCGAUGAUCAAGAUCCUCGGACUUCAGAGAGAUUUAAAGUACGAGUUUGAUGAUGAGUGAUGAUCAUGGCUGAUCAGGAUCAGGAUGGCUCUCACAUCAAAGGUCUCAUUAUCAGUUUUCUACAUCAUUUCUGGCCAUCACUGAUUCAACGGAACUUCGUCGAGGAGUUCAUCACUCCAAUUGUCGAAGCCACCAAAGGAAAAGAAGAAGUCUCCUUCUACUCGCUCCCAGAAUACUCUGAGUGGAGAACGAACACGGACAACUGGAAGCCGUAUAAGAUCAAGUACUACAAGGGAUUAGGUACAUCGACUGCCAAGGAAGCUAAGGAGUACUUCCUGGACAUGGUUCGUCAUCGUAUUCGAUUCAAAUACAACGGAGCUGAUGAUGAUAACGCUAUCGACAUGGCUUUCUCAAAGAAGAAGAUUGAAGAGAGAAAAGACUGGCUUUUGAAGUGGAUGAGGGAGAAGAAAGACAGAAAGGAGCAGGGACUUGCUGAAGAAUAUCUCUACAACAAGGACACUCGAUUCGUCACCUUCAAAGAUUUCGUCAAUCGCGAAUUGGUCUUCUUCUCGAGUCUCCACAACGAACGAUCAAUUCCAUGCCUUGUGGAUGGUUUCAGGCCAGGACAGCGGAAGGUUCUCUUUGCGUGCUUCAAAAGAGCAGACAAGCAUGAGGUCAACGUAGCUCAAUUGGCUGGAGCUGUCGCUGAUAUUUCUGCGUACCAUCACGGAGAACAGUCGCUUAUGGGAACAAUUGUGAAUCUCGCUCAAGAUUACGUUGGAUCCAACAACAUCAACCUGCUUCUUCCAAUCGGACAAUUCGGUACUCGUCUCCAGGGUGGAAAGGACAGUGCUUCAGCUCGUUACAUCUUCACUCAACUGUCGCCAGUCACUCGUUCACUCUUCCCGGCUCACGAUGAUAAUGUUCUGCGUUUCCUCUAUGAAGAAAACCAGCGUAUUGAGCCAGAGUGGUAUUGCCCGAUUAUUCCAAUGGUUCUCGUCAAUGGAGCUCAAGGAAUCGGUACUGGAUGGUCCACAAGCAUUCCCAACUACAAUCCACGUGAUCUCGUCGAGAACAUCAAGCGCCUGAUUGCCGGCGAGCCGCAGAAAGUCUUAGCUCCAUGGUACAAGAACUUCCGCGGAAAGAUCAUUCAAAUCGACCCGAGUCGAUUUGCAUGCUAUGGUGAAGUUGCUGUGCUUGAUGACAACACCAUUGAGAUCACCGAGUUGCCAAUCAAACAGUGGACUCAAGAUUACAAAGAGAAGGUUUUGGAGGGAUUGAUGGAGAGCUCGGACGAGAAGAAACCGCCUGUUAUCGUUGACUACCAGGAGAUUCACACAGAUACAACUGUUAAGUUCGUCGUGAAGCUGGUGCCAGGAAAACUUCGUGAAUUGGAGCGCAGUCAGGAACUUCAUCAAGUGCUCCAGCUCCAAUCUAUCAUUUGCACGAGCUCCAUGGUACUUUUCGAUGCUGCCGGAUGUCUUCGCACCUACAUUUCACCAGAGGCAAUUACUCAAGAGUUCUACGAUAGUCGCCAAGAGAAGUACCUGCAGAGAAAGAAGUACCUCCUCGGAGUUCUUCAGGCUCAGAGCAAGCGUCUCACUAACCAGGCUCGUUUCAUUCUCGCCAAGAUCAACAAAGAGAUUGUAUUCGAGAAUAAGAAGAAGGUGGCCAUUGUCGAUGAUUUGAUCAAAAUGGGUUUUGAUGCUGAUCCAGUGAAGAAGUGGAAGGAGGAGCAAAAGCUCAAGCUUCGUGAAUCUGGAGAAAUCGAGCUGGACGAAGAUGAUCUAGCUGCUGUCGCCAUCGAAGAGGACGAAGCCAUUUCCUCUGCUGCGAAGGCCGUUGAAACCAAGCUAUCAGACUACGAUUACCUUGUCGGAAUGGCUCUCAUCAAGCUUUCGGAAGAAGAGAAGAAUAAGCUCAUCAAGGAAUCGGAGGAGAAGAUGGCUGAGGUUCGAGUUCUCGAGAAGAAGACCUGGCAAGAUCUUUGGCAUGAGGAUCUGGACAACUUCGUGUCUGAGUUGGACAGACAGGAGGCUUGCGAGAAAGCUGAUCAAGAUGCCAGCAUCAAAAAUGCCGCCAAAAAGCUUGCUGCCGACGCAAAGACCGGACAUGGAUCCAAGAAGAAUGUGUGCACGGAAGUCCUUCCAUCCAAGGAUGGACAUCGUAUUGAGCCGAUGUUGGAAGCUGCAACCAAGGCCAAAUAUGAGAAGAAGUCCCAGCCAAAGAAGGAACGCGUCAAGAAAGAGCCAAAGAAAGCUCAAGAGCCGAGAAAAAGCAAGAAGGAGUGGGAAUGCGACUCGUCAGAGAGUGAGCAUGGUGUUUCGUCAGAUGAGGAAAUCAUCAAUAAACCAAGAGCUCGUGCUGAGCGAGGGGCUGCGAAAGCGGCAAGGAAAGCUGCUCCCGGAAAGAUGGCUGCCGGUUCCGAUGAUGAUGAGCCGACGACGAGUAAGACAUCGCCUUCAAAGUAUGGAUCGGACGACGAGGAAAAGGAAUUCGACAGUGGCAUUGUGGUCCCAAGUGGGAAAAGACCCCGUCCAGCUGACGCCGUGGAUUCCGGAUCGCGGACGCAACAUCAAGAAAUGAAGAAGCGACGUGUUGCUCACUCGGAAUCGGAUUAA